ACCCUAAUUUGUUCAGGCUGUGUU
rnacentral:siRNA from 1 species